UACAGAGGUCUCAACCGUUGUUCGGAUUCAUUGGGCGUAAAGGGUGCGUAGGCGGUCGCGUAAGUCAGGUGUGAAAUCCCGGGGCUCAACCCCGGAACUGCACUUGAUACUGCGUGGCUCGGGUACUGGAGAGGAGACUGGAAUUUACGGUGUAGCAGUGAAAUGCGUAGAUAUCGUAAGGAAGACCAGUGGCGAAGGCGAGUCUCUGGACAGUUACCGACGCUGAGGCACGAAGGUCAGGGGAGCAAACGGG
rnacentral:rRNA from 1 species